CUGCUCAAUGAUUUUUUAAAUUGCUGUGGUAUUUUGACUAUACAAAGGUAUUGUAAUAAGAUUUUAAUUGAAUGCUAAAAGAAUGGAAUACAAAAAAUAUCUUUAUUAAUCUUAAAAAUUGAAGUUAAUUUUAUUUGUGAAGAAGCAAUAAUAAAAAUUAUUGACAAGAAGACCCUAAGAAUUUAAUUAAUUGGGGCGAUUGGAAAAUAUUAAUAACUUUUUCAUUAUUAAUGGUAAAAUGAAAAAAUACUCUAGGGAUAACAGCGUAAUAAUUUUUAAUAGUUCAUAUAGACAAAAUAGUUUGCGACCUCGAUGUUGGAUUAGGAUUCUUUUUUAAUGAAGAAGUUAAAAAAAGAAGUUUGUUCAACUUUUAAAUUCCUACUUGAUCUGAGUUCAGACCGG
rnacentral:rRNA from 1 species